rnacentral:rRNA from 1 species
GAUGAACGCUGGCGGCGUGCCUAAUACAUGCAAGUCGAGCGAACAGACGAGGAGCUUGCUCCUUCGACGUUAGCGGCGGACGGGUGAGUAACACGUAGGUAACCUACCUAUAAUACUGGGAUAACUUCGGGAAACCGGAUCUAAUACCGGAUAAUAUUUCGAACCGCAUGGUUCGAUAGUUAAAGAUGGCUUUUCUAUCACUUAUAGAUGGACCUACGCCGUAUUAGCUAGUUGGUAAGGUAACGGCUUACCAAGGCAACGAUACGUAGCCGACCUGAGAGGGUGAUCGGCAACACUGGAACUGAGACAAGGUCCAGACUACUACGGGAGGAAGCAGUAGGGAAUAUUACGCAAUGGGAGAAAGCAUGACGGAGCAACGCCGAGUGAGUGAUGAAGGUCUUCGGAUCGUAAAACUCUGUUAUUAGGGAAGAAAAAAAGUGUAAGUAACUGUGCACGUCUUGACGGUAACUAAUCAGAAAGCAACGGCUAACUACGUG